GUGAACCACCAAUACCCAUUAAAGAGUAAAAAUACCUCAUUUUUUGACGAUGUAUGGAGCUGUCAAAAAAGUGGGUAUUUUAUUUUUUUCGAUAAUGCGUAUUUAACAACCAUUUUGCCAUAUUGAAUAGUUACUCAUUAAAGAGUGAAAAACUACUUACGUGCAUGCCAACAAAAACAAAUAACUGAUAAUCCGCUGAGCCCGCGUUUGCAAACGACAUGCAAUAAAAUUUAAAAAUCUUUGUGAUUUAUGGUAAUAAAACACCAAAAACACAGAGGAAUACAUAAAAUUAGGAAUAUGUAAUGGAAUCGCACAUCAAGAUCCUGAUUACCAGAAUCUGAUCCGCUAGCGCCAGCCCCAACAGCUGCUCCCGAAAAGAAACCAGAGCCCUACAUGCAGUAAUCAAAUGAAUAAGAUAAUGGUUACGACCAAGCGUACGAGAAUGUCGUCCAUAGUAAUUGACGGCCGGGAAAUCAAGCUUUUUAUCGGCGUUCAUCUGACGGCAGUUCCGUUACAGCAGCCGCUGAAAGGAGACUCAAGAAGCCAAUGUGAAAUGAGGACGCUGAUGACAACAAUUCAGCAUUGGUUGAUCUCGACUUUUACGCUGUAUAAUAUUGUUUUCGAGAUUGUUUCUAAGUGAAUAUGUUGUUGUAUGUAAAUAGAUCUUAAUGUCAGGAAAUAAAACUUCA